CUAGAAUUGGCCAACUGAAGAUUUUAAAUUCAGGAAGCAAUGAAACAAACCUACGGGAGAGCACUCAAAUCAGCAACUGAUCUUGGUUAUCAGAAAGAAAGCCACGAUACUUCCCUCAACCAAUGCCUCAAUAUUGAUUUUUCGAUCUUUACAUUGCACAUUCAAGCAGUUCUACCUUCGUAUAUAUUGUUUCCAGUGUUAGUCGUUUCAGUUUUUGUCCAUUACUGUUCCACGUUUUCUUGCGUGCGUGUUGCUUCGUUUAAGUAGAUAUUUCAUCUCCAAAGCUGGAUUUUUGUUUUAGAAUCCAGUCUAUCUCACUUCCAUUCA